AUUGAACGCUGGCGGCAGGCCUAACACAUGCAAGUCGAACGAGUGGCGGACGGGUGAGUAAUGUCUGGGAAACUGCCUGAUGGAGGGGGAUAACUACUGGAAACGGUAGCUAAUACCGCAUACCAUCAGAUGUGCCCAGAUGGGAUUAGCUAGUUGGUGGGGUAACGGCUCACCAAGGCGACGAUCCCUAGCUGGUCUGAGAGGAUGACCAGCCACACUGGGACUGAGACACGGGCCAGACUCCUACGGGAGGGAGCAGGUGGGAAUAUUGCACAAAGGGCGCAAGCCCGGUAGCGCCAUGCCGCGUGUAUGGAAAAGGCCUUCGGGUUGUAAAGUACUUUCAGCGGGGGGGCGUUACCCGCAGAAGAAGCACCGGCUAACUCCGUGCCAGCAGCCGCGGUAAUUC
rnacentral:rRNA from 1 species